rnacentral:rRNA from 1 species
GACGAACGCUGGCGGCGUGCCUAAUACAUGCAAGUCGAGCGGACUGAAUGGGAGCUUGCUCUUGUUCGGUCAGCGGCGGACGGGUGAGUAACACGUGGGCAACCUGCCCGCAAGACCGGGAUAACUCCGGGAAACCGGAGCUAAUACCGGAUAACACCGAAGACCGCAUGGUCUUUGGUUGAAAGGCGGCGCAAGCUGCCACUUGCGGAUGGGCCCGCGGCGCAUUAGCUAGUUGGUGAGGUAACGGCUCACCAAGGCGACGAUGCGUAGCCGGCCUGAGAGGGUGACCGGCCACACUGGGACUGAGACACGGCCCAGACUCCUACGGGAGGCAGCAGUAGGGAAUCUUCCGCAAGGGGCGAAAGCCUGACGGAGCGACGCCGCGUGAGCGAAGAAGGCCGUCGGGUCGUAAAGCUCUGUUGUGAGGGACGAAGGAGCGCCGUUUGAAGAAGGCGGCGCGGUGACGGUACCUCACGAGGAAGCCCCGGCUAACUACGUG